UUAUUUAAUUUCCAUUACAGUUCGUGGGGUAUUUUGGAGAAAUUACAAGAUAUUUUCCGCAGCCUGAAACCCUACAUUUCCGCCGCAAGUCCCAGUCCCCAUUUCCCAUUUCCAUUUUCCAACUUGCCAAAAUGGCGAGUUUGAAUACUGAUCCUGAAAUUCGAACAAUUAUUCCUUUCACGAUCUGGACUCUUCAUAAAUGUUGUUGGGUACCUGUUGGAACCUCCAAACUAGAGCAUCUUGGUGGAUCCGACAUGGGUGUUGCAAUAGGUUGUUUUUCAUGCAUUUGCUUUUACACUCAAAAGCAACAAAUGCAUACACUCUGUGUAAGGCUCAAUGCAGUGUUAGUGUGCUAUUUGAAAGGAAUGUCAUUUUAUGCCACUUUUCUUAACUGCGAGCUCGGCCUGGACUGGUGAUUCGAUUUUGUCUCCACAUCCUCUCAUUAUUUGGAAGAAUUACUUGUGGUUCUAUUUUUGGGUGGAAAUCCUAGUGUUUUGAUUUAGUGUUGUAAGAAUUAGUUAUAUGGUUGCAUACUUCUGCUGCAGUGGCUAUACUCUUUCAUACUAGCAAUCGUAGUAUUAUCUAUGAGUUUCUUGUUAUUCUAUUUGUUACUAUUUAUUGUUUCUUACACUUCGAUUAUCGUACUAUUUUGUGGUA